rnacentral:lncRNA from 1 species
GCAACAUGGGAAACGGUUCCAUGUUUUCACCUCCAAAAGCGACACUGGAAGGUGAUUUAAACAGAUAGCGAGAUAAACUCUAUAUUCUGUGAAGACGGGGUCGUAUUUCAGACAGCGAUUACAUGAAGUUUUCAAAGAAAGCAAGAGCGCAGGGAACGGGAGCAGUGGGACGGCCGUGGAUCUGGAAUAAGACACCAAAGGAUCAGCCGUGCCAGAGAAAGGAGGGGCUGAGAUUUACAGAUUUGGAGCGGUUGGAUUUCUGCUGCUGGAUCUCUCUGCACAUCAGCUACACAGUGCCAAGAGUCUGCAUGAAAGCUAGGGGAGAAAAAAAAUCAGUUAAAUAUUUAGAUGAUUUGCCGACACAGAGAACUUGCCGUUGGCAGCAAAGAUUUAUUAAGCAGGCUAUGAAACAAGAUGUCAUUAAACAGUUUGAAAGCAUGCCCUCGUAAUUAAGAAAGCAAAAAGUUUCUAAUUUAGGUAAUGAAAUCUGCAGCUCAG